UUGGUGUGGACGGGACGCCACCAAGCCUUCGAUGGAUAGGGGUUCUGAGAGGAAGGUCCCCCACAUUGGAACUGAGACACGGUCCAAACUCCUACGGGAGGCAGCAUG
rnacentral:rRNA from 1 species